GUUAAUGUAGUACGCUAGCAAAAGAUUGGGCAGUUCAUGUAUACCCAAUGGUUUACUUGGAUAUGCAUGCUUUGGCUUUCAGGCUUGGGUAAACCAGCCAAACAAAACAAUCGAGAGUAGAUACUAUUAUAGGAAAUCCUUCUAUAUCUCAUUGAUAGCCAGUGUUGGGGAGUAACGGAAUACAUGUACCGGCGUUACGUAUUCAGAAUAUAAAUUGUAGCUUACUGUAUUCCAUUACAGUUACAAUUGAAAUAGUUGGUAUUUAGAAUACAGUUACAUUGUUGAAAUCAAUGGAUUACAUGAGGAUACUUCUGUUUCAGCAGUUUAUUCGUGCUUUCACACCAACAGCAUUUAGUGCGCACUAAACGAGUUUGGUCCCCUUGGUUCGGUACGUUUGCGUUGGUCUGGUCUCGGUUAGCUUCCAAACUAACCCUGGUACGGUUCGCUUGAGAUGUGAAAGCGAACGCACCUCGGUCCGACAAAGCAUAUGCCUCUUUGGAUGUAACAGGCACCCGCUCAGCCGUGCGCAUUAUGGGAAUUAUUGUUUGAUUAGCGGUAACUCCAAGACUAGCAGCAAAUUGUCGGACCGUCUGGGAAUUUGGACAGACACCCACAUAAAACGUAUGCUGGAAAACAAACAUAAAAAUGCAGAUGAUUGAAAGAU